UACGUAGGGUGCAGGCGUUAAUCGGAAUUACUGGGCGUAAAGCGUGCGCAGGCGGUUUGCUAAGACAGGUGUGAAAUCCCCGGGCUUAACCUGGGAACUGCGCUUGUAACUGGCAAGCUAGAGUGUGGCAGAGGGGGGGUGGAAUUCCACGUGUAGCAGUGAAAUGCGUAGAGAUGUGGAGGAACACCGAUGGCGAAGGCAGCCCCCCUGGGCUAACACUGACGCUCAUGCACGAAAGCGUGGGGAGCAAACAGG
rnacentral:rRNA from 1 species